rnacentral:rRNA from 1 species
CCUACGGGUGGCAGCAGUGAGGAAUAUUGGUCAAUGGGAGGAAUCCUGAACCAGCAAUGCCGCGUGCAGGACGACGGCUCUACGAGUUGUAAACUGCUUUUGUACCGGGGUAAAAUGCUCUACGAGUAGGGAUUUGAAAGUACGGUACGAAUAAGGAACGGCUAACUCUGUGCCAGCGGCCGCGGUAAUACGGCGGAAGCGAGCGUUAUCCGGAUUCAGUGGGUUUAAGGGGUGCGUAGGUUGUUUUAUAAGUUAGCGGUGAACUACCGAUGCUCAACAUCGGGGCUGCCGCUGAUACUGGAGGACUAGAGAGCGGAUGCGGCAGGCGGAAUGUGUAGUGUAGCGGUAGAAUGCAUAGAGAUUA